GGUUAAAUCGUGAUGUUAUGGACAUUUACAGUUUUACAACAAUACUCGCACUCUAAAAGACCAUUUUUGACUAAUAAUAACGAUAUGCUAUUGCAAUUGGAAUUUACAAAAUUAAUGAUGAUGUUGUCAUAGGAACGGUUUAAUUCCAAAUAACGGGAGUUGUAUAGAAGAAACAACACUAUAUUCACUUGGACUUGACAUAGCAAAUAUUUAUCUCUGAAAUGUUAUAAUGUUUAACGAGACACAUACAAGAAAUUCAAUUAUGUUUUAUGAAAAAAACGUCAGGAAAAAUAACAUAAAAUACGCGUGUUGUCAUAAAGAAUAAGAUGGGUUGUUCUUCAUCUCAGUUCAAUAACAGAAAAAUUUACAAAAAACAGAGAGAAGAGGACUAUUCUACCUCUGAUGAUGAUAUAAGAGGAGUUCCAGACGGUCAGGAAACGUUUCAAGGAAUGGAAGGACAGAAGCCAAAACCAAAACCAAAAAAGCCGAAAGAGGUUGUCAGAUCCAUGUCCAGUGACAUACCGUCUGGUACGGACAUUACUAUGCUUAGAGCAGGAAGUGAAGACGAAUCAAAGGACAUUAUAUGAACAAUAACUAAAGAUGAAAUUGAAGAGAGAGAGAGAAAUCGUUGAACGUUAUAACUGUUUGAAUCUACUUUUUAUUUGUUUUCCUGAUUUGAUUUUGUGUGUGGAAAUGUGUAUGAAUUUCCAAAUGCACAUGUGUUGUGAUUUUACAAGUGCCCUUCUGAGUUUCUAAGAAAAUUCAAAAUUAAUAAAAAAAAAAAAACGAAAGCAAAUAGUUUAAUGGUAAAUUUAUAUUGAAUGAUAUACCAAUUAAUUUCUUCGCCCACUUAAAUCUAAAUACUAAAUAAUUUCCUGUCAGUUCUAUUUUACCUACUUAAAUAAUGACGAACCGUUUGUGAAAACAAUACAAUGUUUUUCUCAUGUCAAAAUAUUUGUUAUAAUUAUUAAAAGAUCGGUUAUAUUUUGAUAUUAAUCGGUGUUUAAUGUCCAGUGGCAAAUAUUAUAUGCAUAUCAAGAUGAGAAAAUGGGUGACAACGUAGACAUAAACACCGUGAGCGUCAAGUUCAAGGGUUCAGUUUUAAAAUGCUCUAUUUUGGACGCAUGCUUUGAUAUUGUAAAAUAUUUCAUGAUUUUAUAAUAAUAGUUAAUUUACUAAUUCCGUGAUUUACUCUGUAAUUAGAAAUCACUUUUUACGACUUGUUACCCUUGGAAAGGACAUAAAUAUUUAUUGACAAUGGAGAGGUAGCGGAAAGGCACAUUUAUAUGUGUGCAAUGUGUGUUAUCGUUAAGGUUUCAUUUUUUUCAUUGCAUUUAAUCUUUUUUCAAGGUAAAAACUUCUGAUAUAAAUCGUUACUUUUCAUUAAUCUAAAAAGAGUGCACACGCUGAAAUGUCUCGCCUGCUUUGCUGACCAUUGAUUUUAUGUUGAAAGUCUUAGCGAUAAAGGUUUUACUACAAGUAUCACAUAAACAUAACAUUUUUAAAGAUCCAUGACAAUGAGGUCAAGGUCAGAUUAAUCUUGUCAUACACCAAAUAUAACUGACCGAUUGCUAUCGAUAUUUGAAAAACACCAAAAUACAAUAAAAUGCUUCGCUUAGCGCAGCCUGAUACGACCGCAGAGAUCGUACCCUGAACAGUCGGGGCAAGUUUGGACACAAUAUUCAAGCUUUAUACAAUCUGAAUUUGGAUUGUUAUCAAAUUUUUGACAUAAUAUAGGUUUCUGACACAAAAUAAAUGUGGUCAAAGAUCUUGAAAAUUUGAAAUGGGACAUUUAAUUUACCUAGAAUGGUCAGAUAUCCAAAAUCUAACAACAUGGUUAGAUUCAGCAUACAAAAAAAACAAUAAUUUAAUUUUAGUUGAAAUCAAACAAAGUUUAAUUUUGGACCCCGAUUACUUAAUAUGAACUAAUUUGAAAACAGGGCCCAAAAUAAAAAUCUAAAUGCACAAUAAGAUUCAGCAAAUCAUACAGCCGCAAUAAUUCAGUUUUUGAUGAAAUCAAACAAAGUUUAAUUUUGGACCCUUUUGACCUCAAUGUAGACCAAUUUAAAAAUGCGGCCCAAUAUCCAAAAAAAAAAAUUAUACAAGGUUAGAACCCCUAACAAUUAAAGACUUAAUUAAUCCCAUCGAAAUUUGUUAAAACAUUUGUAUUUGUUAUCAAUUGGA